rnacentral:rRNA from 1 species
GACGAACGCUGGCGGCGUGCUUAACACAUGCAAGUCGAACGGAAAGGCCCCUUUGGGGGUACUCGAGUGGCGAACGGGUGAGUAACACGUGAGUAACCUUCCCUUGCCUUCGGGAUAACUUCAGGAAACUGGGGCUAAUACCGGAUAGGAAUCCUUUCUGCAUGGUGGGGGUUGGAAAGCUUCGGCGGUUUUGGAUGUACUCGCGGCUUAUCUGCUUGUUGGUGGGGUAGUGGCUUACCAAGGCUUUGACGGGUAGCCGGCCUGAGUGGGCGACCGGCCACAUUGGGACUGAGGGACGGCCCAGACUCCUACGGGAGGGAGCAGGGGGGAAUAUUGAACAAGGGGCGGAAGGCUGAUGCAGCAACGCCGCGGGCGGGAUGACGGCCUUCGGGUUGUAAAACGCUUUCAGCAGGGGCGAAGCUUGUGGUGACGGUACCUGCAGAAGAAGCACCGGCUAACUACGUG